rnacentral:rRNA from 1 species
AGUGAACGCCGGCGGUAGGCCUAACACAUGCAAGUCGAACGGCAGCACAGGAGAGCUUGCUCUCUGGGUGGCGAGUGGCGGACGGGUGAGGAAUACAUCGGAAUCUACUUUUUCGUGGGGGAUAACGUAGGGAAACUUACGCUAAUACCGCAUACGACCUACGGGUGAAAGCAGGGGAUCUUCGGACCUUGCGCUAUUGAAUGAGCCGAUGUCGGAUUAGCGAGUUGGCGGGGUAAAGGCCCACCAAGGCAACGAUCCGUAGCUGGUCUGAGAGGAUGAUCAGCCACACUGGAACUGAGACACGGUCCAGACUCCUACGGGAGGCAGCAGUGGGGAAUAUUGGACAAUGGGCGCAAGCCUGAUCCAGCCAUACCGCGUGGGUGAAGAAGGCCUUCGGGUUGUAAAGCCCUUUUGUUGGGAAAGAAAUCCAGCUGGUUAAUACCCGGUUGGGAUGACGGUACCCAAAGAAUAAGCACCGGCUAACUUCGUGCCAGCCGCCGCCGUAA